rnacentral:rRNA from 1 species
GGGGAAAUUCAAUAAUGCCCAUCAAACGGCAUUGUGCACUUUUCUUCCAGUAAGACGCUGUGAUCCAUUAGAAAUUGGACCAUUCCAAUGGUCGUUGGGCUAUCAAUAGGCCGACAUGAAGUUCAUUGGUGCAAAUGGCGUGGUCCUUUACGGCCGCGUGUAUUGCCCGGCGAGCGUGUCGUCACCUGAAAUAGCUGUCUGAUGGAUUUUAAAGGUCAUACCACUGAUGCUUCGGCACCACCCAUCACGAUGGGAGCUUGGUAUGUGCCCGAUCGACAGCGGUUAAAUUUGCGAUACCUUUGGGACCCGUCUUGAAACACGGACCAAGGAGUCUAUCUAGUAUGCAAGUAAAUGGGUACAUGAAACCUAUUUGCAUAAAAAACUUGACUUUUAUGGGAUUACGAGUCCAUGUCACAGUGGGCUCCUCCAUCCCGGGGUAUUUUCGCCAACAUAUGCAGCAAUGUAUAUGGAAAAUAUACCACGAGCGUACUGGAUAUGACCCGAAAGAUGGUGAACUAUGCCUGAUCAGGUUGAAGUCAGGGGAAACCCUGAUGGAGGACCGUAGUUGUUCUGACGUGCAAAUCGAUAA